rnacentral:rRNA from 1 species
GGACCCGCACAAGUAGUGGAGCAUGUGGUUUAAUUCGAAGAUACGCGCAGAACCUUACCAACACUUGACAUGUUCGUCGCGACUUUAAGAGAUUAAAGUUUUCGGUUCGGCCGGACGAAACACAGGUGCUGCAUGGCUGUCGUCAGCUCGUGUCGUGAGAUGUUGGGUUAAGUCCCGCAACGAGCGCAACCCUCACUUUUAGUUGCCAUCAUUAAGUUGGGCACUCUGAAAGAACUGCCAGUGAUAAGCUGGAGGAAGGUGGGGAUGACGUCAAGUCCUCAUGGCCCUUACGUGUUGGGCUACACACGUGCUACAAUGGUAUCUACAACAGGAAGCAAGACUGCGAAGUUAAGCAAAUCCCUAAAAGAUACCUCAGUUCGGAUUGCACUCUGCAACUCGAGUGCAUGAAGCUGGAAUUACUAG